CUACGGGAUGCACCAGUGGGGAAUAUUGGACAAUGGGGGAAACCCUGAUCCAGCAAUGCCGCGUGUGUGAAGAAGGCCUGCGGGUUGUAAAGCACUUUCGGUUGGGAGGACUGCUUCUAGCACUAAUAUUGUUGGAAGUUGACGUUACCUUCAGAAGAAGCACCGGCUAACUCCGUGCCAGCAGCCGCGGUAAUACGGAGGGUGCAUGCGUUAAUCGGAAUUACUGGGCGUAAAGCGCGCGUAGGCGGCUAGAUCAGUCGGGUGUGAAAGCCCCGGGCUUAACCUGGGAACUGCAUCCGAUACUGUCUAGCUUGAGUACAGGAGAGGAGAGUGGAAUUCCACAUGUAGCGAUGAAAUGCGUAGAUAUGUGGAGGAACACCAAUGGCGAAGGCAGCUCUCUGGCCUGAUACUGACGCUGAGGUGCGAAAGCGUGGGGAGCAAACAGGAUUAGAUACCCCCGUAGUC
rnacentral:rRNA from 1 species